CUGACCUACGCUAGUUCGGAUCCAGAGGACUUUCGGCCCUUAACGCCGAAUGACUUUUUGAAUCGCCCACCUACUUUCGAUUUACUGCCAGGCGAAUUCGGUGACGCCUUGCCCCGAGAACGGUUCCGUUACGUCCAGAAGAUGGCCCAAUUGUUCUGGGAUUUAUGGACUAAAUUGUAUCUUCCGACUCUCGUCCCUCGAAAGAAGUGGCAAUCGGUUCAAGGGAACCUUACUGUUGGCGACGUCGUCCUCCUGCUGGAUCCCAACCAACCGCGCGGCUCCUGGAAAAUCGGCCACGUCAAUCAAACUUAUCCGGGAGGUGAUGGACUAGUGCGCGUCGUCAAGGUGAAAACAGAAGACGGCGAGUACACCCGAGCGAUUCACCGCCUAAGUCUCCUCGAGAAAGCUGCCGUAGCCGAUGUUUCUCCGGAAGAGUCUCCUUCCCCUUUAUCAAAAUAGUCCCGAUGUUCAUUAUCUUUCUUUUCUCUCUUUGAUUUUUUGCUCAUCUGUUCCUUCUUUAUUCGUCUCGUCGCCGGAUGUAACAGAUUCGGGGGGAGAAUGUUGCGGCGAGAAAAGCGCCUUUCAAUUUCUCCAAUUUGGCAACGCCUAAUUUUAAGUCAAGCGCGAUUCUUUCCCCUUCCCUCCCGAGUCUUUGUGUUAAUCCGUCUGCUAGCCUUCGUACGACGUUAAGACCACGCUGGUUUCACUGUCGAAAGAGCUAGUUACUGUCACGAUUAUUAUUCUUUUCUGUGUUUCGUGAAGCCAUUUAUUCAGCUUUUUCAGCUCGUUUUCUGUUCUGAGCUGUCAGUUCAAACCCUAUUCUGAGUGCUUUUGCUUGCCUAGCAUUGGCUUCAUAUCUAUAUUCCCUGUCUGUGUGCAUAUUGGUCUGGGUGACCACUCACAUUUUCUCGUGUCACCCCAGACAUCACACGUAUGUUAGUUCACUGUAUGUCAACACAGUUUGAGUCCUACACAAAUUUCAUUUUGUGUCGUGCUUGACCCAGCAUCAACUUACGAAUAAAUUAUAGGGGCUGCUUACAACAGACCCCAGAAGAAACUCUGAAGGCUCUCACUAAAUCCAUA